rnacentral:rRNA from 1 species
AGUAACGGCGAGUGAAGCGGCAACAGCUCAAAUUUGAAAUCUGGCUCCUUCGGGGCCCGAGUUGUAAUUUGCAGAGGAUGCGUCGGGUGCGGGUUCCUUCCGAGUUCCCUGGAACGGGACGCCAUAGAGGGUGAGAGCCCCGUCUGGUAGGACACCCAGCCCGUGUGACGCUCCCUCGACGAGUCGAGUUGUUUGGGA